UGGGUAACCUGCCUCAAAGAGGGGAAUAGCCUCCCGAAAGGGAGAUUAAUACCGCAUAAUAUGUUUAGGUCGCAUGACUUUAACAUCAAAGGAUUUUCUUUUAGAAAUUCCACUUUGAGAUGGACCCCGCGGCGCAUUAGCUAGUUGGUGAGGUAACGGCUCACCAAGGCAACGAUGCGUAGCCGACCUGAGAGGGUGAUCGGCCACAUUGGAACUGAGACACGGUCCAGACUCCGUAGGGAG
rnacentral:rRNA from 1 species